GAGUGUAUGGCUCAGUGAUAGAGCACGUGCUUAACAUGCGUGAAGUCCUAGGUUCAAUCCCCAGUACCACCA
rnacentral:tRNA from 1 species